UACGUAGGGUGCGAGCGUUGUCCGGAAUUAUUGGGCGUAAAGAGCUCGUAGGCGGUCUGUCGCGUCGGUCGUGAAAACUUGGGGCUUAACCCUGAGCUUGCGGUCGAUACGGGCAUGACUGGAGUUCGGCAGGGGAGACUGGAAUUCCUGGUGUAGCGGUGAAAUGCGCAGAUAUCAGGAGGAACAGCCGGUGGCGAAGGCGGCCACCUGGACGGUCACUGACGCUGAGACGCGAAAGCGUGGGUAGCAAACAGG
rnacentral:rRNA from 1 species